GUGUCAGCCGCCGCGGUAAUACGGAGGGCGCAAGCGUUGCCCGGAAUCACUGGGUGUAAAGGGUGCGUAGGCGGGGCUGUAAGUCAGAGGUGAAAGCCUCCGGCUCAACCGGAGAAUUGCCUCUGAUACUGCAGCUCUUGAGUCCCGGAGAGGCCGCUGGAAUUCCUGGUGUAGCGGUGAAAUGCGUAGAUAUCAGGAGGAACACCGGAGGCGAAGGCGGGCGGCUGGACGGGGACUGACGCUGAGGCACGAAAGCGUGGGGAGCAAACAGGAUUAGAUACCCUGGUAGUCCACGCCGUAAACGAUGGAUGCUCGGCGUUGCCGCCUUCGGGCGGCAGUGCCUAAGCUAACGCGGUAAGCAUCCCACCUGGGGAGUACGGCCGCAAGGUUGAAACUUAAAUGAAUUGACGGGG
rnacentral:rRNA from 1 species